GCAAGUCGAGCGAACGGACGAGAAGCUUGCUUCUCUGAUGUUAGCGGCGGACGGGUGAGUAACACGUGGAUAACCUACCUAUAAGAAUUGGAUAACUUCGGGAAACCGGAGCUAAUCCCGGAUAAUAUUUUGAACCGCAUGGUUCAAGAGUGAAAGACGGUCUUGCUGUCACUUAUAGAUGGAUACGCGCUGGAUUAGCUAGUUGGUAAGGUAACGGCUUACCAAGGCAACGAUGCAUAGCCGAUCUGAGAGGGUGAUC
rnacentral:rRNA from 1 species